rnacentral:rRNA from 1 species
UACGUAGGGUGCGAGCGUUAAUCGGAAUUACUGGGCGUAAAGCGUGCGCAGGCGGUUUUGUAAGCCAGAUGUGAAAUCCCCGGGCUCAACCUGGGAAUGGCAUUUGGGACUGCAAGGCUUGAGUGCGGCAGAGGAGACUGGAAUUCCUGGUGUAGCAGUGAAAUGCGCAGAUAUCAGGAGGAACACCGGUGGCGAAGGCGGGUCUCUGGGCCGAUACUGACGCUGAGGAGCGAAAGCGUGGGGAGCAAACAGG